UAAUAAUUCCCUAAACAUGACUUACCUAGACUGAUUAUUAUACCCAACUGUAACAAGUGUUCUAAUAAUACUUCGUUAGAAACAUGAGAAUAAUAACUUGUCUACUCUAUUCUGUCUGCAGGAUACGUAUAGGACACAGAAGUUUCCAGACAAUUGGAUAAGAAAGAUUUGUUUACAUCUGUCCUGAUUGAGAACGCUCACCAAGUGUCAGGAGACAUGAUAUGAUUCAAGUUUGGAGCCGUCCCUGCUGCCACGUAGAAUAAUUCAGCUCGGAUGAAAAAGGCUGCUAUCUCAGUGGUGUACCUGGCAUGUCAUUCCCGGGAGCAGAGAACUGAAUUGGUCUUGAGGAGACUGUUUGUCCUGACAUGAAAGUUAGUUGAUGUCUUCUUUGAACAUCAGAAAUUAACUCGGUUCAGCCGCCCAAAUAUGGAGAUGUUUGACUGUGCUUUUGCAGAGUACCAGCGACGUUUCAUGAGAGUCGCAAUUAGGAAAUAAAAACUGAGGUUGAACAGAUGUGGAAUGCACGGAGUGAUAUGGAAGAACGAAGGUAAACACAGACGGAAAUGAAAACUCUCAUUGGAAAAGAGGACUGGAAACAGGGAAUAGGAAACGAACAAAGUGAAGUAAAGAACUCAGCUAAACGUUUGAACCCUGACGAGGAAGAAGUUCAAGAUAUUUAGAAAUAUAAAUGAAAAUAUAUGAAUAAACUUUUUGAGUCGAG